UCACAGAACUUUCGUCCUCAU
rnacentral:piRNA from 1 species